CACGUAGGGGGCGAGCGUUGUCCGGAUUUAUUGGGCGUAAAGAGCUCGUAGGCGGCUUGUCGCGUCGAAUGUGAAAACUCGGGGCUCAACUCCGAGCUUGCAUUCGAUACGGGCAGGCUAGAGUUCGGUAGGGGAGACUGGAAUUCCUGGUGUAGCGGUGAAAUGCGCAGAUAUCAGGAGGAACACCGGUGGCGAAGGUGGGUCUCUGGGCCGAUACUGACGCUGAGGAGCGAAAGCGUGGGGAGCGAACAGG
rnacentral:rRNA from 1 species